GCCGAGGAUACUCGUUGGCCUCGUAAAAAAACGGGUAAAAACAAUAACUGACGAAACGUCACCAUACGCUGCGGCUGCUUAGUCGCGCCGUCGCCUGAUUUCAGCCUGCAAUCCCCUUCGGGGGAGGGAUCAGGACCGACGUAAAUGCGCGGGAUAUGUCUACACGUUGUUCCUCGAGGGCGUGAAGAUGAGAAUUACACUGGAGGAAGGCCUGAAGGGAUCCUGUUCGUUGGGAGCCCCAAAGGCGAGAUAAAACACGAACUACGCGCGUAGAAGCACCUGCUGAGACGCCUUGGGACGGGAGUUCGAUUCUCCCCGGGUCCACCA
rnacentral:tmRNA from 1 species